UACGUAGGGGGCAAGCGUUGUCCGGAUUUAUUGGGCGUAAAGAGCUCGUAGGCGGUUUGUCGCGUCGAAUGUGAAAACCCGGGGCUCAACCCCGGGCCUGCAUUCGAUACGGGCAGACUAGAGUUCGGUAGGGGAGUCUGGAAUUCCUGGUGUAGCGGUGAAAUGCGCAGAUAUCAGGAGGAACACCGGUGGCGAAGGCGCCGCUCUGGGCCGUGACUGACGCUGAGGAGCGAAAGCGUGGGUAGCAAACAGG
rnacentral:rRNA from 1 species